AGUGAACGCUGGCGGUAGUCCUAGCACAUGCCAGUCGAACGGCAGCACAGUAAGAGCUUGCUCUUACGGGUGGCGAGUGGCGGACGGGUGAGGAAUACAUCGGAAUCUACUUUUUCGUGGGGGAUAACGUAGGGAAACUUACGCUAAUACCGCAUACGACCUACGGGUGAAAGCAGGGGAUCUUCGGACCUUGCGCGAUUGAAUGAGCCGAUGUCGGAUUAGCUAGUUGGCGGGGUAAAGGCCCACCAAGGCGACGAUCCGUAGCUGGUCUGAGAGGAUGAUCAGCCACACUGGAACUGAGACACGGUCCAGACUCCUACGGGAGGCAGCAGUGGGGAAUAUUGGACAAUGGGCGCAAGCCUGAUCCAGCCAUACCGCGUGGGUGAAGAAGGCCUUCGGGUUGUAAAGCCCUUUUGUUGGGAAAGAAAAGCAGCAGGUUAAUACCCCGCUGUUCUGACGGUACCCAAAGAAUAAGCACCGGCUAACUUCGUG
rnacentral:rRNA from 1 species